rnacentral:rRNA from 1 species
GUGAACGCUGGCGGUAGGCCUAACACAUGCAAGUCGAACGGCAGCACAGUAAGAGCUUGCUCUUACGGGUGGCGAGUGGCGGACGGGUGAGGAAUACAUCGGAAUCUACUUUUUCGUGGGGGAUAACGUAGGGAAACUUACGCUAAUACCGCAUACGACCUACGGGUGAAAGCAGGGGAUCUUCGGACCUUGCGCGAUUGAAUGAGCCGAUGUCGGAUUAGCUAGUUGGCGGGGUAAAGGCCCACCAAGGCGACGAUCCGUAGCUGGUCUGAGAGGAUGACCAGCCACACUGGAACUGAGACACGGUCCAGACUCCUACGGGAGGCAGCAGUGGGGAAUAUUGGACAAUGGGCGCAAGCCUGAUCCAGCCAUACCGCGUGGGUGAAGAAGGCCUUCGGGUUGUAAAGCCCUUUUGUUGGGAAAGAAAAGCAGCAGGUUAAUACCCCGCUGUUCUGACGGUACCCAAAGAAUAAGCACCGGCUAACUUCGUG